rnacentral:rRNA from 1 species
AGCAGCCGCGGUAAUUCCAGCUCCAAUAGCGUAUAUUAAAGUUGUUGCAGUUAAAAAGCUCGUAGUUGAACUUCGGGGUUCACCCAUUGGUCAGGCUUAAUUGUCUGUACUGGUGAGAUGAGUCUCUACCUUCUGAGGAACUUUCAUGCCAUUUGUUUGGUGUGAUUGGAAAUCAGGACUGUUACUUUGAAAAAAUUAGAGUGUUUAAAGCAGGCUAACGUCUGAAUACAUUAGCAUGGAAUAAUGAAAUAGGACGGAUUGAUUCUAUUUCGUUGGUUUCUAGGGUCACCGUAAUGAUUAAUAGGGAUAGUUGGGGGCAUUAGUAUUCAAUUGUCAGAGGUGAAAUUCUUGGAUUUAUUGAAGACUAACUACUGCGAAAGCAUUUGCCAAGGAUGUUUUCAUUAAUCAAGAACGAAAGUUAGGGGAUCGAGGACGAUCAGAUACCGUCGUAGUCUUAACCAUAAACUAUGCCGACUAGGGAUCGGACGCAGUUAAUUUUAUAAUGACGU